CAUCAUGCUCCUAACACGUGUGGUGAAAUAUUUCAGAACAAUUUUUUUUGAGGGAAGAAUAUUGAUAUAAGUCAUGGAAAAGGAAGAAGAGUUUUAAGAAGGAGGUGGAUAAAAAGAAGAAGAAAUAGGUGGACACGAUUGAUAUGAUAUGAAUAUUGCAUUUGAAAAUGUGGCCACGACAGGAUGUGAGCAAGCUUGUUGAGGAGACCGCAGAGCCAACCGGAUGACUUCUCGUCUCUCAACUGAUAUCUUUUUUUCGACUCACCCAUUUGAAGACGUUGAAAUCGGCUGAAAA
ensembl:ncRNA C35A5.14 ncRNA